rnacentral:rRNA from 1 species
CGUAACAAGGUCUCCGUUGGUGAACCAGCGGAGGGAUCAUUACCGAGUUUACAACUCCCAAACCCCUGUGAACAUACCUAUACGUUGCCUCGGCGGAUCAGCCCGCGCCCCGUAAAACGGGACGGCCCGCCCGAGGACCCUAAACUCUGUUUUUAGUGGAACUUCUGAGUAAAACAAACAAAUAAAUCAAAACUUUCAACAACGGAUCUCUUGGUUCUGGCAUCGAUGAAGAACGCAGCAAAAUGCGAUAAGUAAUGUGAAUUGCAGAAUUCAGUGAAUCAUCGAAUCUUUGAACGCACAUUGCGCCCGCCAGUAUUCUGGCGGGCAUGCCUGUUCGAGCGUCAUUUCAACCCUCAAGCUCAGCUUGGUGUUGGGACUCGCGGUAACCCGCGUUCCCCAAAUCGAUUGGCGGUCACGUCGAGCUUCCAUAGCGUAGUAAUAAUACACCUCGUUACUGGUAAUCGUCGCGGCCACGCCGUAAAACCCCAACUUCUGAAUGUUGACCUCGGAUCAGGUAGGAAUACCCGCUGAACUUAAGCAUAUCAA